AUUGAACGCUGGCGGCAGGCCUAAAACAUGCAAGUCGAGCGAUAGUACAGAGAGCUUGCUCACGGGUGACGAGCGGCGGACGGGUGAGUAAUGUCUGGGAAACUGCCUGAUGGAGGGGGAUAACUACUGGAAACGGUAGCUAAUACCGCAUACCGUCGCAAGACAAAAGUGGGGGACCCUCGGGCCUCAUGCCAUCAGAUGCGCCCAGAUGGGAUUAGCUAGUAGGUGGGGUAACGGCUCACCUAGGCGACGAUCCCUAGCUGGCCUGAGAGGAUGGCCAACCACAGUGGAUCCGCGACGCGGGCCAGACUCCUAGGGGAGGCAGCAGUGGGGAAUGUUGCACCAUGGGCGCAAGCCUGGUGCAGCCGUGCCGCGGGUGUGAUGAAGGCCUUCGGGUUGUGAAUCACUUUCAUCGGGGAGGAAGGCGUUAAGGUUAAUACCUUUGCUAAUUGACGUUACCCGAAGUAGAAGCACCGGCUAACUCCGUGCCAGCCGCCGCUGUAA
rnacentral:rRNA from 1 species